AUUUUGGACAAUGGGGGUAACCCUGAUCCAGCCAUUCCGCGUGUAUUAUGAAGGCCCUCGGGUUGUAAAGUACUUUUGGCAGAGAAGAAAAGGUACCUCCUAAUACGAGGUACUGCUGACGGUUUCUGCAGAACAAGCACCUGCUAACUACGUGCCAGCACCCUCGGUAAUACGUAGGGUGCAAGCGUUAAUUGGAAUUACUGGUCCUAAAGCGUGUGUGGGCGGUUCGGAAAGAAAGAUGGGAAAUCCCAGGGCUCAACCUUGGAACUGCAUUUUUAACUGCCGAGCUAGAGUAUGUCAGAGGGGGGUAGAAUUCCACGUGUAGCAGUGAAAUGCGUAGAUAUGUGGAGGAAUACCGAUGGCGAAGGCAGCCCCCUGGGAUAAUACUGACGCUCAGACACGAAAGCGUGGGGAGCAAACAG
rnacentral:rRNA from 1 species